UCUUCCUCUUGAACUAAGACCAUACCUAAACGUAUUUGUCUCCUCAAAAACGCCGCUCAACAACCUUCCUCCAUUUUUGAUAAAGAGCUUCCAUCAAUAUUUUCAAAGUCAGAAUUGCUACCCCAUUUCGGUGCAACGUCUUCAUCUCUCUCCCACCAUUACGAGUAAGGGUCCUAAAGAUCCAAUUCACUCUCUGAAUUCCAUUCCAUUCUUAUUUAACCCACUGUCAAGAGUUUUGGACUAUUCCAAUAGCCUUGACUUUUUCAAACUUCUCUUGCUAUGUUGACAGAUAAAAUCAGAAUUGCCAAAGUUUGCUCCACCUUUUUGGUGAAUAUUUAUGUAAUCGUCGCUGGCCUUAGCAGAAGAGGUCAAAAAUUUUGUUUGAAUUUCCCAACCUUAACGUUUCAAAAUCCCGCCCAAAAUCCAGCUAUAGGAGACCUAAUUCUUCUCUAUAAAUACCAGCACUUGGGAAUAGAUGAGCAGCAUGUUUUCGGCCGCCUUUCCCCUCUAAAAAAAACUCCUCAAAAUACCCUGUUCAAUAACAAUUAGUUUGCAAAAUACUGGUUCUGAAAAUCACCCUUUUUUCUCUCAUACCUCUGUCCACUUUUAGCCAUGGAAGAGACUUAUUUGGUUUUAAUCGUGCCAUUUUAUUUGUGAAGGAGGUCGGAGUCCGUCUGAUCUGAAAGCCCGCACCCCAGUUCACUGCACCCAGAAAAGGUACGAUGAAGACAAACGAUGGAAAACCGAGCAGUUUUGAUUGAUUCUGGAGGUGAUCUUGUGUGCACGAGUAAAUGAGAGGAGCUUGCGACACUUAGAAGAAUUUCUGGAAAGAAUUGAGAGCAAAUGUACCAGCCCCGCAUCGCUGAUGUAACGCGGGGUGACAUUCAGGCGUUAGGUCCGCGUCGCGGGGCCAUGAUGAAAAAAACAAGCUGCAUAAUCUUUGACAAUCCGUGUCACGCCCGCGUCGCGGGGUCAGCACAAUUGAAGGCCAAAAUCACUGAAUACCCCGCGUUGGACCCGCGACGCGUGGUCAACUUGGGAAGGCCCAGUUUUGUCCGAUUUUAAUUAGGAUUAGGACCCUUUUAUUUGGUUAAUAGCCCUAAACAAUAAAUAUAUGUUUUGUUCUUUAUUAAUGACGUGCCGGGAUUAUUCCAAGACUUGUAAGCCGUUAUCUUACUUUCUCUCUCUAGAUUUUAUUUUAUUUUCAUCUUUUUCAGCCCUAGUUUCUUCAUGAAUUCUUGUUGUUCAUUGAGAAUCAUGAGUAGCUAAACUUCUUAAGUCUAGGGUUGUCGCAAAAGACAUGAUAGUUAGUUUGACGACAAUUAUUAUCUAUUGAUUUUCCAUACUUUGGGUUGCUUA